GACGAGCCACACAAACGUUAUUCGGAAUCACUGGGCUUAAAGGGUGCGUAGGCUGUGCAGAAAGUUGGGUGUGAAAUCCGACAGCUCAACUGUCGAAGUGCACUCAAUACUACUGUGCUAGAGGAAGACAGAGGUAAGCGGAACUGAGGGUGGAGCGGUGAAAUGCGUUGAUAUCCUCAGGAACACCGGUGGCGAAGGCGGCUUACUGGGUCUUUUCUGACGCUGAGGCACGAAAGCUAGGGGAGCGAACGGGAUUAGAA
rnacentral:rRNA from 1 species